GAUGAACGCUGGCGGCGUGCCUAAUACAUGCAAGUCGAGCGAACGGACGAGAAGCUUGCUUCUCUGAUGUUAGCGGCGGACGGGUGAGUAACACGUGGAUAACCUACCUAUAAGACUGGGAUAACUUCGCGAAACCGGAUCUAAUACCGGAUGAUAUUUUGAACCGCAUGGUUCAACAGUGAAAGACGGUCUUGCUGUCACUUAUAGAUGGAUCCGCGCUGCAUUAGCUAGUUGGUAAGGUAACGGCUUACCAAGGCAACGAUGCAUAGCCGACCUGAGAGGGUGAUCGGCCACACUGGAACUGAGACACGGUCCAGACUCCUACGGGAGGCAGCAGUAGGGAAUAUUGGGCAAUGGGCGAAAGCCUGACGGAGCAACGCCGCGUGAGUGAUGAAGGUCUUCGGAUCGUAAAACACUGUUAGUAGGGAAGAACAUAUGUGUAAGUAACUGUGCACAUCUUGACGGUACCUAAUGAGAAAGCCACGGCUAACUACGUG
rnacentral:rRNA from 1 species